AGAAUCAACGCUUGCGGCGUGCCUAACACAUGCAAGUCGAACGCGAAAGUGGAGCAAUCCAUGAGUAGAGUGGCAAACGGGUGAGUAACACGUGGGUGACCUGCCUUCGAGCGGGGGAUAACGUCCCGAAAGGGACGCUAAUACCGCAUAACAUCCUGCCUUUUAAGAGGUGGAGAUCAAAGCCGGGGAUUCGCAAGAACCUGGCACUUGAAGAGGGGCCCGCGCCUGAUUAGCUAGUUGGUGGGUAAUGGCCUACCAAGGCAACGAUC
rnacentral:rRNA from 1 species